rnacentral:rRNA from 1 species
UACGUAGGGUGCAAGCGUUGUCCGGAAUUAUUGGGCGUAAAGAGCUCGUAGGCGGUUUGUCGCGUCUGCUGUGAAAACUCGGGGCUUAACCCCGGGCCUGCAGUGGGUACGGGCAGACUAGAGUUCGGCAGGGGAGACUGGAAUUCCUGGUGUAGCGGUGAAAUGCGCAGAUAUCAGGAGGAACACCGGUGGCGAAGGCGGUUCUCUGGGCAUUACCUGACGCUGAGGAGCGAAAGUGUGGGGAGCGAACAGG